rnacentral:lncRNA from 1 species
AUGAUUUUCAGUUCCAGGGCUACCCACUCUACAACUACUAUCAGUUCCUUCGACAGCAAAGUAGCUCGUCACUCCCAACACAAGUGCCAGAGGGGACACCUUCUGAACCUGCCAUCCUCCCUCCAACACCUGGACCUUUACAGGAAACCCAAACUCAAGCAGCACAGGAGUCUACCACUGUGUCAUUUCCAGAAGCUUAUCACAUGCCUACCACUCCUUCUGAUCAGGAUGUUAAUGCAGUUACAGAUGAGCCAAAUGUUGCAAGCCUCAUGGAGCCAUAGAGGAAGACUUUUGAACAGACAGUAGCUAAAAGGGUGAAGGAAAAUCACCACAGAUAUGUUUUGGAUGAGUGCCCCCUAAAGUAAAAAAGCUGAAUCUGUGAGAUGUACAGUAUUAACCACAGUAACACUGUUGCAAGCAUGUUAAAUAUCUGGAGUCCUUCCAUUGUUUUUAUUGCUUUACAUGGAAAAAUAAAACCUCUUGUCAAGCUCCCAGCAUUAACACUGUUUUGUUAAAUGAUAAACUAUUUAAUUAAAUCUGCAUGUUCUUUCUUGGUACUGUACAUACUGUAUGCUAUGUCCAAAACAAAAAUCAAUAAAGUUUUGUUCUUGUAGCCCCACAAAUGUGUGUUUUCACUGAC